GACGAAGGGGGCUAGCGUUGUUCGGAAUUACUGGGCGUAAAGCGCGUGUAGGCGGUUGUUCAAGUCAGGUGUGAAAGCCUUGAGCUCAACUCAAGAAAUGCACUUGAUACUGGAUGACUAGAGGACCGGAGAGGAUAGUGGAAUUCCCAGUGUAGUGGUGAAAUACGUAGAGAUUGGGAAGAACACCAGUGGCGAAGGCGGCUAUCUGGACGGUUUCUGACGCUAAGACACGAAGGCCAGGGGAGCAAACGGG
rnacentral:rRNA from 1 species